ACUACGGGAGGCUGCAGUGGGGAAUAUUGGGCAAUGGGCGCAAGCCUGACCCAGCAACGCCGCGUGAAGGAAGAAGGCUUUCGGGUUGUAAACUUCUUUUCUCAGGGACGAAGCAAGUGACGGUACCUGAGGAAUAAGUCACGGCUAACUACGUGCCAGCAGCCGCGGUAAUACGUAGGUGGCAAGCGUUAUCCGGAUUUACUGGGUGUAAAGGGCGUGUAGGCGGGAAAGCAAGUCAGAUGUGAAAACCAUGGGCUCAACCUGUGGCCUGCAUUUGAAACUGUUUUUCUUGAGUACUGGAGAGGCAGACGGAAUGCCUAGUGUAGCGGUGAAAUGCGUAGAUAUUAGGAGGAACACCAGUGGCGAAGGCGGUCUGCUGGACAGCAACUGACGCUGAGGCGCGAAAGCGUGGGGAGCAAACAGGAUUAGAUACCCCUGUAGUC
rnacentral:rRNA from 1 species